rnacentral:rRNA from 1 species
UGCAGUCGAGCGGAUACAAGCAUAUCAGAACCUUCGCGGGGACGAUAACGGCGUCGAGCGGCGGACGGGUGAGUAAUGCCUAGGAAAUUGCCCUGAUGUGGGGGAUAACCAUUGGAAACGAUGGCUAAUACCGCAUGAUGCCUACGGGCCAAAGAGGGGGACCUUCGGGCCUCUCGCGUCAGGAUAUGCCUAGGUGGGAUUAGCUAGUUGGUGAGGUAAGGGCUCACCAAGGCGACGAUCCCUAGCUGGUCUGAGAGGAUGAUCAGCCACACUGGAACUGAGACACGGUCCAGACUCCUACGGGAGGCAGCAGUGGGGAAUAUUGCACAAUGGGCGCAAGCCUGAUGCAGCCAUGCCGCGUGUGUGAAGAAGGCCUUCGGGUUGUAAAGCACUUUCAGUCGUGAGGAAGGUGGUGUAGUUAAUAGCUGCAUCAUUUGACGUUAGCGACAGAAGAAGCACCGGCUAACUCCGUGCCAGCAGCCGCGGUAAUACGGAGGGUGCGAGCGUUAAUCGGAAUUACUGGGCGUAAAGCGCAUGCAGGUGGUUUGUUAAGUCAGAUGUGAAAGCCCGGGGCUCAACCUCGGAAUUGCAUUUGAAACUGGCAGACUAGAGUACUGUAGAGGGGGGGUAGAAUUUCAGGUGUAGCGGUGAAAUGCGUAGAGAUCUGAAGGAAUACCGGGUGGCGAAGGCGGCCCCCUGGACAGAUACUGACACUCAGAUGCGAAAGCGUGGGGGAGCAAACAGGAUUAGAUACCCUGGUAGUCCACGCCGUAAACGAUGUCUACUUGGAGGUUGUGGCCCUGAGCCGUGGCUUUCGGAGCUAACGCGUUAAGUAGACCGCCUGGGGAGUACGGUCGCAAGAUUAAAACUCAAAUGAAUUGACGGGGGCCCGCACAAGCGGUGGAGCAUGUGGUUUAAUUCGAUGCAACGCGAAGAACCUUACCUACUCUUGACAUCCAGAGAACUUUCCAGAGAUGGAUUGGUGCCUUCGGGAACUCUGAGACAGGUGCUGCAUGGCUGUCGUCAGCUCGUGUUGUGAAAUGUUGGGUUAAGUCCCGCAACGAGCGCAACCCUUAUCCUUGUUUGCCAGCGAGUAAUGUCGGGAACUCCAGGGAGACUGCCGGUGAUAAACCGGAGGAAGGUGGGGACGACGUCAAGUCAUCAUGGCCCUUACGAGUAGGGCUACACACGUGCUACAAUGGCGCAUACAGAGGGCAGCCAACUUGCGAAAGUGAGCGAAUCCCAAAAAGUGCGUCGUAGUCCGGAUUGGAGUCUGCAACUCGACUCCAUGAAGUCGGAAUCGCUAGUAAUCGUGGUUCAGAAUGCCACGGUGAAUACGUUCCCGCUCUUUGUCCACACCGCCCAUCACGGCCACAGGUUAUGGCCCACCUGAAGAAGCCCGGUAGUGUUGAUCUUCGGGCAGA